GGCUGAUUGGUCAAGCGGUUAAGACUCCGCCCUCUCACGGCGGAACCAGGGGUUCGAUUCCCCUAUCAGCUG
rnacentral:tRNA from 1 species